CUGACGCUGAGGAGCGAAAGCAUGGGGAGCGAACAGGAUUAGAUACCCUGGUAGUCCAUGCCGUAAACGUUGGGCACUAGGUGUGGGGGACAUUCCACGUUUUCCGCGCCGUAGCUAACGCAUUAAGUGCCCCGCCUGGGGAGUACGGCCGCAAGGCUAAAACUCAAAGGAAUUGACGGGGGCCCGCACAAGCGGCGGAGCAUGCGGAUUAAUUCGAUGCAACGCGAAGAACCUUACCAAGGCUUGACAUACACCGGAUCGUUCCAGAGAUGGUUCUUCCCUUUUGGGCUGGUGUACAGGUGGUGCAUGGUUGUCGUCAGCUCGUGUCGUGAGAUGUUGGGUUAAGUCCCGCAACGAGCGCAACCCUCGUUCUAUGUUGCCAGCACGUGAUGGUGGGGACUCAUAGGAGACUGCCGGGGUCAACUCGGAGGAAGGUGGGGAUGACGUCAAAUCAUCAUGCCCCUUAUGUCUUGGGCUUCACGCAUGCUACAAUGGCCGGUACAAUGGGUUGCGAUACUGUGAGGUGGAGCUAAUCCCAAAAAGCCGGUCUCAGUUCGGAUUGGGGUCUGCAACUCGACCCCAUGAAGUCGGAGUCGCUAGUAAUCGCAGAUCAGCAACGCUGCGGUGAAUACGUUCCCGGGCCUUGUACACACCGCCCGUCAAGUCACGAAAGUUGGUAACACCCGAAGCCGAUGGCCUAACCCUUGUGGAGGGAGUCGUCGAAGGUGGGACUGGCGAUUGGGACUAAGUCGUAACAAGGUAGCCGUACCGGAAGGUGCGGCUGGAUCACCUCCUUUCUAAGGA
rnacentral:rRNA from 1 species